UCCUCGUUAGUAUAGUGGUCAGUAUCUCCGCCUGUCACUCGGGAGAUCGGGGUUCAAUUCCCCGACGGGGAG
rnacentral:tRNA from 1 species